CCUACGGGAGGCAGCAGUGGGGAAUAUUGGGCAAUGGGCGCAAGCCUGACCCAGCAACGCCGCGUGAAGGAAGAAGGCUUUCGGGUUGUAAACUUCUUUUCUCAGGGACGAAGCAAGUGACGGUAACUGAGGAAUAAGCCACGGCUAACUACGUGCCAGCAGCCGCGGUAAGACGGAGGUGGCAAGCGUUAUCCGGAUUUACUGGGUGUAAAGGGCGUGUAGGCGGGAAAGCAAGUCAGAUGUGAAAACCAUUGGCUCAACCUGUGGCCUGCAUUUGAAACUGUUUUUCUUGAGUACUGGUGAGGUAGACGGAAUUCCUAGUGUAGCGGUGAAAUGCGUAGAUAUUAGGAAGAACACCAGUGGCGAAGGCAGUCUGCUGAACAGCAACUGACGCUGAGGCGCGAAAGCGUGGGGAGCAAACAGGAUUAGAUACCCUUGUAGUC
rnacentral:rRNA from 1 species